rnacentral:lncRNA from 1 species
UAGCUAAGUUAUGAAAAAUCUUAUGGAACAUGUGGUGAUUAUAAUGGUGAUGUGUAACCCACCACUUCCUCUCCUUUUCUCCCACAAAAAUUCGGCCAAGUGGCCCAUUAUUUCACCAAGUCUUGCUUCCUUUUUAAUGAAUAUCUAGUGUCUCCAAAGAUUAAAAUGCCCCUCCUUACUUGGAUCAAAUUUUGGGCUUUUUUUAAAUAAUGUUUGGGCCACCAUAUUUAAUCCCUUUGGACUUUAAGUUGGGCUUGCAAAAUUAAUCUAUUGGACAUAAAGAAUUUAAUUCUUUGGGCCAUGUAAAUCAAUCAUAGUCCAACACUCUUAAUAAUACCAAAUGUCCAUCAUGCCCUUCCUUCAAUUGGGCUCAAAAUUGGGCCAUCACUUAUAAUCUUUUGGGUUUUCCUUUAAUGCUUAAUUGAUUUAUUAAUUGUCCAACAUAUACCUCCCACUUGGGCUAAAAAUUGGGCCACUCAAUUAAUGUAUUGCUUGGGCCUCUAAUCAAUUUCAUUGGGCCAACACUUGGGCUAUAAAAUAUACAUAGUCCAAUACCUUAAAUUCUUAUCCAACCCAAAUAAUUUAAUUAGGGUUUUCUCUUCUCAUUUAAAACACAAAUUCUUACUCAUGCACAUUUAUUUCCUUAACCCAGUUUGACUUGCUAGAAUGAGGUUAUAAAAUUAAUUAAUCGAGAUAUAUAAAAUAAAUCUCUUAGAAUUAGUAUAUAUCUAAAUACUAUUAUUUCCCCCAACUCAUAACUCUUAAGUUAUUCAAUCAUUCAUUCUUAAUAUAUAAUUAGGAUUACAUUGGUUUGUUUUAUUUGUGUAUAUAAUAAACAAACAAACACAUAAUAUUCAUAUUCAUUACACACACAACUUUUAAUCCCUUAGGGUUUUAUACAAAACAUUAGGAUUUCUAAUUUAACAAUUAGGGUUAUCCCUAAUAUAUAAUCACAAAUACUUAAGCAAUUAUAUUUAGCCUUUGACUUCCCAAAUUAGGGUUUCAAAUACCGAAUUAGGGUUUCGGAUUCCCGGUACUGAAAUUAGGAUUUCCAGAACCGAUUUCUAGGGUUUCUUAUAAAUUGUAAUAAUUUUAUAACUGAACGUUGACGUUCUAAAUAAUAUUAGGGUUUGACACAGAUAUAAUUUAUAUGGUCAACACUUGACCCUUAACCACAUUCUGUACACAUAAUAAAUCACAGAACAUAUACUCUUAUACCCUUCAUCCUGAAUAAUUCAUUAAAAGAAAUUUUAAAUCCUCAAAAUUCCUUCCUGAAAACAUUAAACACAUACCCUUAUUCUCUGUCUAGGUCUAUUAUUUGACCUUAAACCAAUCAUUUAAGAUUUUAAUAAAUUUUCUAAAUUCUCGGGUUGUCACAUUCACCCCUUCUUCUAAGAAUUUCGUCCCCGAAAUUAAAGCAUCCUAAUCUUUGCUCAUUCUCUUGAUCAAAACUAGAUUUUCAAUUUAACCUUUACAAUUUCUUCAUUCGAGGAUUUCUUUUCUAUCUUCACAUCUUACAAUAACUACUCACUAGGAGUUUACAUAUUCUAAACAUUCACAAAAACUAGGUUGUCACAAUAACCUUUAUUUAAUCGUCUCAGAUUUCACUCGUACGCAACGAGUUUACACUAUUUCAUAUCCAUCAUCACAUUCUACCACAACAUUACUCUGAAGAGUUAAAAAAAAAAAGAAAAAAAAGAAAAAAAAAACUUUUCAUAUUUGUCUGAGGGAUCAUAAAAACUAUGAACUUUGAGGUUUAGGGGUAUUUCUACCUGCUACCUCUUUCAAUUACGAAAGAAGGGUACUCUACCUCUGAAACAUUUCUUUAAUAGGUAUGUUUACAAUCACGAAGAAGGUAAACUACCGAUGCUGGUACUAUAGAUGAUCAGUAUAUUGUACCUUAGUGAUCUGAAUGACUAUAUGCGUCCUUAGAUUGGGAUAUUCUAUCCAAUUAGUAUAUCCCCAAUUUCAGGGUUGUUCACCUCAGACUUAUCAUAGGAUUCCGCACCAAAAUAAUUUGGUUCGGGAAAUUUCUUUCAAUGAACACUUAGAGUUUUCAUAAACAUUAGUCUAGCUGAUUCAAAUAGCAUAGACUUAUAUCAAUAAUUCAGUUCAAUAGAAUUAUUUAAGUAUAGCCAAACCCCGUUGGCAAAUUAAAAUUUUGAAAACAUUUUUUGAGAAUGACAUUAUGAUGCCGCACUGUAUUUACAGUCCGUUGAGGAUUCCGUCAUUUGGUGAUUUUAUCAUACUACAUUAUACCAUAGUGGGUUGACGAUCCUUAGAUCACAUCCAACACUAAGUAAUACUGCAUUGAUGACUCCAUCAUUUUUAUCAUCUCUGCACCAGGUUACAUGGUACAUACGUGAUAAAUAAAAAUAACUUUUGAUACUUCAAAUCAUUUGCGUCUAGCCGAAAUAAGUAGCAUAGACUGUACUUUAAACCGUUUUCAAAAAUUAUUACGAGUCUAAAUUUUUUUUUUUAAAAGGCACAUAGUGCAUAUUUAGCUUGAUGUCAAAAACUUCGAAGUCUAGCAUGCUAGAAGAUUUGGAAUACCUAUGCUUCCAUCAUCAACUUCACUUUUUCUACUUAUCCAUUGCUUAAUAAAUCUAUAUAUUCAUAUAAUCCUCAAUGCUCCAUUCACACUUAGCUAUACCCCAGUUCAUCAAACUUACCACACAUUAUGAGUUCAGUAACUUGCCACAAUCAUAUGAGUUUAAGAACUUAUCCUAGUCAGACCAUAGGCGUCCAUUCGCUAAGUGGUUCAAAACAUACCAUAUGAUUAUGAGUCAUGAACUUACCAUAAGUAUGAGUUUUAAGAACUCGCAACUUAACUUCAUAUUCUCUACAUAUUCGUUAUAUACAUGAGAAAGGAAUCACCCUCUUAACCUGCAUAUAACAAAUAGCGUGACACAAAUAUUUCAAUGAUUAUCAUUACCAGAAACUAAGUGGUUGUCAAACCAAACUCAGCCACUAAUCAAUAUAGGAAGCUAAGCAUACAAUUCCCCGCCCAUACAAAGAAUUGGUCAACCUAACCACUAUAUCGACCAGGAAGCUAAGUGAUUCUAAAACCAAGUACAAAUUCCCCGCCCAUACAAGGAAUCAUACAACUCAGCUACUGACAUGAGUCUUCAAUUGAAAACCCACAUAAUCUUAACUUUCUCUUUUCUUAAUACGAAUUUUCUUUAAUCCGUAUCUAAACAUUUACCACUCUUUUCUGAGUUUUCAAUUGUACCAUUUUAUAGUACCUUCUCUUUAUAGCAUCAAGCUAUAUCAUUCCAAUCACUUAACAAAUCAAUGUUAUUCAACGAUUUAAUCUGAUCACGUGGUGAUCUUAUUUCGAAAUCAUUUCUCCUUAUACUUACGAUCGUUUUAUUUUACGAUCUUCUUAUUCUUCUCUUUAAUCAUAUUAUAUUAUGAUUUUAUUUACACUUUUUAUCUUAUAGACAUCGUCUAUUUAGUAUCAUCUUUCAUCUUUAUUACUGGAGUCAGGUAACUCCGGAUUCUUAUUCUUAUAUCUCUUCAAGAUUCUUCUUUGAAUCUUCUUAUCUUCAUCUUUACUUAAUAAUGAAUUUCCAAAAAUUCAUCUCUUAUCGCUUAAACACUAUUCGAGUUUAUUACUUAUCAUCAUCUCCGCGGUUAUAGCCUAAGGUACACCUACCUAAGAUUUAUAACCUACGGCUUUGAUACCAACUGUAGCGUCCCCGGAAUCCGCCUCGGAUCCGGUUCGCUAAUUCUAUAACUAUUUGCGGAAGAUAUAAACAUAAAUUGUUUAUACAUUAAACUUUACACACUAUUUCCCCAAAAUCGAGUAACCUUAACUAAUACACAAUCAUAAACUAUCUAACACAUGACAAUACUAUUCUUCAACCAUACUUUUACAAAUUAGCUGCACAUUCUAUCCCAAGCUGAACUUGGCAUUUUCCUUUUCCUGUAACUNNNNNNNNNNNNNNNNNNNNNNNNNNNNNNNNNNNNNNNNNNNNNNNNNNNNNNNNNNNNNNNNNNNNNNNNNNNNNNNNNNNNNNNNNNNNNNNNNNNNNNNNNNNNNNNNNNNNNNNNNNNNNNNNNNNNNNNNNNNNNNNNNNNNNNNNNNNNNNNNNNNNNNNNNNNNNNNNNNNNNNNNNNNNNNNNNNNNNNNNNNNUUCAUUUCAGUAUCCUGAAAUCACUAUUCUUUUUCACGAAAAAUAUCAAAUCAACUUAUUAUUUUUCUAUCCUUUGGUCAAACAUAUAUACAUAUAUUUCAUACAGAAAAAUUAUUUUUCCAUAAUUUUCCAAGUUCCUUUAGUAUUUUUCAAAAAAAUCAUUUCUAGUUAAUUCCUUAAGAAAUUAGCUACCUUGUGCUUAACUCCAAAAAUUCCCAUCUUCUGACACAAUCUUACACAUGUUAACGUGACACUCCAGUUUAAAUUUUGUGGCAAUCGGAGUUGUAGAACUCCGGUUAUAGCCGUUUUCGUCGGAAAAUCACAAAAAUUGAAAUGGUCAUAACUCGGUCAUUUUAAGUCAGAAUUAGCUCAUUUUUGGACAUGAGGUACUUAAUACCAUAUUUUUUCAUUUCCCGAAAGGCCAGAAUUUAUUUCACAGUUUAAGUGGCCAAAACAGCCCUCGCAAAAAUCUGGGCAGCAACUUUUUGGCCAAAAACAGUUUUGGGGUCCUUCACCGUAAAAUCCAUAUCUCUUAAACCGUAAGGCCAAAAAUUCUAAAAUUUUUACACAACCUGUAUAUCUACUGAUAUUAACACCCCAAAUGUUUCCAGAAUUUAUAAAGCACAAAAAGGGUAAGAAAAUGCCCCUGCUACGGACUGAUCCAAAACAGUUCCUAGAAACGGGACUGUUUUCACAUAAAUCAACACCACGACUUUUAGAAACGUGAUUUUUGAGUUCUACCACUUGGGUUAACUAGUAAACACAUAUAUCUAGCACUACUCUUAGACGGAUCGAGAAAAGAAUGUCUAGAUCAAAAACGGUAUACAUUCAAAACACCUAAAAGUUAGGGUUUUCAAAACUAGAAAAAUUAUUUUUCUUUUCUUUUUGAUUCAAACCAAAUUAACACCCAUUAUGGGUAGAUCCAUACUUGAAAUCAUAUAAAUCACAUAGAUCUUAGGGUUUGAACUACCAAAUCAAAAACCCCUAAAUCAAAUCCAUAAACUAAAAUAGGGAAAAACUUAAGAAAAGUAUUUUUAUACCUUUGCUUUUCUUUCUCUCCUUCAAAGAUGUGAUAUGGGUCUUGGGUUUAUGAAAGUUAAAAUCCCCUCUCUCCCUUCUCUUGGAUCUGCUGAAAUGGCCUCCCUCUCUCUCUCUAUCUUUAGUUCUUUGCUAACUUGGAAGAAUAGAAGAGAUGAAAGAGAAAUGAGAUAGAUUUUUUUUUUUUAUCAAUUAUCCAACCCACUCUCUUUUUCUCUCAUACUCAACCGGCCAUGUGCCUUUCUUCUCUACAUUCUCCACUCAUUCUCUCUCUUAGUAAUCAUUGCAUACAUGUGUGGGAGAUUGAAAACAAAGUGGCUCCUUAAAAUGGAUGACACCUAGCUAAGAUAUGAAAAAUCUUAUGGAACAUGUGGUGAUUAUAAUGGUGAUGUGUAACCCACCACUUCCUCUCCUUUUCUCCCACAAAAAUUCGGCCAAAUGGCCCAUUAUUUCACCAAGUCUUGCUUCCUUUUUAAUGAAUAUCUAGUGUCUCCAAAGACUAAAAUGCCCCUCCUUAUUUGGAUCAAAUUUUGGGCUUUUUUUAAAUAAUGUUUGGGCCACCAUAUUUAAUCCCUUUGGACUUUAAGUUGGGCUUUCAAAAUUAAUCUAUUGGACAUAAAGAAUUUAAUUCUUUGGGCCAUGUAAAUCAAUCAUAGUCCAACACUCUUAAUAAUACCAAAUGUCCAUCAUGUCCUUCCUUCAAUUGGGCUCAAAAUUGGGCCAUCACUUAUAAUCUUUUGGGAUUUCCUUUAAUGCUUAAUUGAUUUACUAAUUGUCCAACAUAUCCCUCCCACUUGGGCUAAAAGUUGGGCCACUCAAUUAAUGUAUUGGUUGGGCCUCUAAUCAAUUUCAUUGGGCCAACACUUGGGCUAUAAAAUAUACAUAGUCCAAUACCUUAAAUUAUUAUCCAACCCAAAUAAUUUAAUUAGGGUUUUCUCUUCUUAUUUAAAACACAAAUUCUUAUUCAUGCACAUUUAUUUCCUUAACCCAAUUAGACUUGCUAUAAUGAGGUUAUAAAAUUAAUUAAUCGAGAUAUAUAAAAUAAAUCUCUUAGAAUUAGUAUAUAUCUAAAUACUAUUAUUUCUCCCAACUCAUAACUCUUAAGUUAUUCAAUCAUUCAUUCUUAAUAUAUAAUUAGGAUUACAUUAGUUUAUUUUAUUUGUUUAUAUAAUAAACAAACAAACACAUAAUAUUCAUAUUCGUUACACACAUAACUUUUAAUCCCUUAGGGUUUUAUACAAAACAUUAGGAUUUCUAAUUUAACAAUUAGGGUUAUCCCUAAUAUAUAAUCACAAAUACUUAAGCCAUUAUAUUUAGCCUUUGACUUCCCAAAUUAGGGUUUCAAAUACCGAAUUAGGGUUUCGGAUUCCCGGUACUGAAAU